rnacentral:lncRNA from 1 species
UUAGGGGUUUUAAUGGAUUUUAGGGUUUAGGUUUUCUUAGGGUUUAGGAUUUCUUAGUGUUUCAUAUGGUUUGAGAUUUAGGGUUUAGCCCUAUGGUUUAGAGUUAAGGAUUUAGAGUUUCUUAGGGUAUGGAAUUUAACAUUUGUGAUUUCUUAGGCUUUGGUAAUUUAAAGGGUUUUGGGCUGAAGAUUUUCUAGGGUUUUAUUAGGUUUAGAGGAAUUUUUAGGUUUAGGGUUUUAAAGGGUGUUUAGGAUAUUUAUGGUUUUUUUACGAUUAAGGGGUUUGUAGAGCUUAGGGUUUUUAAAAGUUUCGGGUUUAGGGGUUUUAAAUGUUUUUUAGGGUUUUUUUAUUUCUUAAGGUAGACUCUUAGGGUUUUAGCCCUAAGGUUUAGGGUUUCUUUGUGUAUAGAGUUGAGCAUUUAGGGUUUCUUAGGAUUUAGGGUUGAAGGUCUAAGUUUUUUAUUUAAGGGUUUUUAAGGUUUAAGGCUGAGGGCUUAUGUUUUUGUAGUAUUUUUUAGGUUUAGAGUUUUUUUUUUUUUUGGAUUUCAAACGGGUUUUUCAAGAUUUAAUAAUUUUCUAUGGUUUAGGGGUUCUUAGCGAUUAGGAUUUCUUUGAGAUUUGGGGUUAGGAUUUUAGAUUUAGGGUUUUUUAGGGGUUAGGGGAUUUUAAGGGGAUUUUUUUAGGUUUAGUGUUUUUAAAGGUGUUUUAUGGUUUAGGAUUUCUUAGGGUUUAGGGUUUGUUGGUGUUUCUUAAGUCUUUGGGUUUAGGGGUUUCCCUAAGGCUGAGGGUUUAGUGUUUCUUAGGGGUUUCAAAUUUCUUAGGUUUAGGCUUGUAAAGGUUUUUUAAGGUGUUGAUCUAAUAUGCUUAUGAUAUGCCAACUCAAGGUUAUCUUGGGGUUACUCGUGAUCCUCCGUCCCGCGUUACGUCACGGGAGUAUAAUCGGGGAGUGAUAAAAACAAUGUCUGAAUAAAAUCCUCUAACUUACUAGAGAUACUGGGACAUGCCCUCAACUAACUCUAGCAAAACUGAAAAUAAAAUGAAAGGCAGAAUAUAAAACAUGUCAAUCGUCCUCGAAGAACGAGGUCUCACCACCGAUAUUGCUGAUUAAGGAUCUGGAACCGAUCUUUGCAUGAUCCGAAUGCCGAGGACCUGUACCUACAUCCCGAGAAGAUGUAGCGUAGAGUGUGUGUCAGUACUUGAAAGGUACUGAGAAUGCAUGAUAGGUUAAAGCUGAACAAAUAUAUAUAACUUAAUAGAGCAUAUUGAACAAUGGUAUAAUCUGAACAUGAUUAAUAAGAAUUUAGGUAUUUGGAUAAAGGUUUUUAGGUUAGGGUUUAGAGCUUAAGUUUUUCUUGGAUUUUUUUAGGUUUAAGAGUUUUUUUUCGACUUUAGGAUUUUUUAAGGAUUUUUUUAGGAUUCAUUAAUGUUUUUAUGGUUUAGUAGUUUUAAGGGCUUUAGGACUUAGGGUUUUAGAUUAUGGAAUUUUUUUAGGGUUUGUAAGGUUUGUUUUCGGGAUUUUUAGUUUUAGAGUUUAAAAGGUUUUUAGCGUUUUGUUUUCUUAGGAUUUAGGGGAUUCUUAGAGUUUUCAUAAGGAUUAGGCUUGGGUGUUUAUCCCUAAGGUUUAGGGUUUAGGUUUCUUAGGGUUUGAGUUUAACAUUUAAGGUCUCCUAGUUUUUUUUUUCUAUUGGAUUAUUUAGGAUUUAGUGUUUUAGGUUUAGGGUUUAUGUUUGUUAGGUUGAAGAUUUUUUAGAGGUUUUUAAUGUUUAGAGUUUUUAAAGUUUUUUUUGUUGUUUUUUAGGGUUUAGGUUUUUCUUAGUGUUUUUUUGGGUUUAGUGUUUGGGGUUUUCUUAGAUUUUGGCUUUUUGGCUUACGAUUUAGGGUUUCUUAGGGUAAAGGAUUCAGGGUUUAAAGAUUGUGGGUUCCUUAGGUUUAGGAGUUUUAAAGUUUUUUUUUUUAAGGUUUAGGUUUUCUUAGUGAUUUUUAGGGUUUAGGGUUUCAUAGGGUUUAGGAUUCUUUUAAAUUGAUUUUAGGGUAAAUUAUGGUGUAGGGCUUACUGUUUUUUAGGUUUAAGGUUUUUAGGGGUUUUAAAGGGGUUUUUUUUUUCGUUAGAGAAUAUAGGUUUAGAAUUUUUAAAGGUUUUUAAGGUUUCAUAGGGUUUAGGAUUUUAGGUUUUAAGGUAUUUGGGUUUAUAAGGGUUUAAGGUUUAGAGUUUCUUAGGGUUUAGUGUUUCUUAGAGUAUGAUAGGGUUUCCUGGUUUAGAGUUUAGGGCUUAGGGUUUUAGGUUUAAAGAUUAUUUUUUUGAGUUUUUUAAGGGUUUAUGCUUAUGAUUUCUUAAGGGUUUUUAGGAGAUUUAAGGGUUUCUUUAUGUUUAGGGGUAAGGCCAAAGGUUUAGGGAUUAGGCCUUAACGUAUAGGGUUUAAGAUUUAGGGUUUCAGGUUUUAGGUUAAGAGUUUUAUUUAGGGUUUAUGGUUUUUUUUAGGUUUAUUAUUUUUAUGGUGAGGGUUUUUAAAUGAUUUAGGGUUUCGUAGGGUUUUUUAAGAAUUUGGAUUUCUUCAGAUUUAGGGUUAUGUAGGAUUUAGGGCAUAGGAUUUUUUUAAGGCUUAGGAUUUUUAAAGGGAUUUAUUUUUUCCCCCGAGUAUUAUAGAUUUAGGGGUUUUAAUGGAUUUUAGGGUUUAAGUUUUCUUAGGGUUUAGGAUUUCUUAGUGUUUCAUAUGGUUUGAGAUUUAGGGUUUAGCCCUAUGGUUUAGAGUUAAGGAUUUAGAGUUUCUUAGGGUAUGGAGUUUAUCAUUUGUGAUUUCUUAGGCUUUGGUAUUUUAAAGGGUUUUGGGCUUAAGAUUUUCUAUGGUUUUAUUAGGUUUAGAGGAAUUUUUAGGUUUAGGGUUUUAAAGGGUGUUUAGGAUAUAUAUUGUUUUUUUACGAUUAAGGGGUUCGUAGAGCUUAGGGUUUUUUAAAGUUUGGGGUUUAGGGGAGUUAAAUGUUUUUAGAGUUUUUUUAUUUCUUAAGGUAGACUCUUAGGGUUUUAGCCCUAAGGUUUAGGGUUUCUUUGGUUAUAGAGUUGGGCAUUUAGGGUUUCUUAGGAUUUAGGGUUGAAGGUCUAUGUUUUUUAUUUAAGGGUUUGUAAGGUUUAAGGCUUAGGGCUUAAGUUUUUGUAGUAUUUUUUAGGUUUAGAGUUUUUUUUCGGUUUAGGAUUUUAAAAGGGUUUUUCAAUAUCUUAAUAAUUUUCUACCGUUUAGGGGAUCUUAGGGAUUAGGAUUUCUUUGAGUUUAGGGCUUAGGAUUUUAGAUUUAGGGAUAACCCUAAAACAUUUAAAAACCCUAAUCAUAAAAAUAAUAAACCUACAAAAAACCAUAAACCCUAAAAAAAACUCUUAAUCUAAAACCCGAAACCCUAAACCUUAAACCCUAUACCUUAGGGCCUAAACCCUAAACCAUUGGCCUUAACCCUAAACAUAAAGAAACCCUUAAAGCCCCUAAAAACCCUUAAGAAAUCAUAAGCAUAAACCCUUAAAAAACUCAAAAAAAAUAAUCUUUAAACCUAAAACCCUAAUCCCUAAACUCUAAAACAGGAAACCCUAUCAAACUCUAAGAAACACUAAACCCUAAGAAACUCUAAACCUUAAACCCUUAUAAACCCUAAUACCUUAAAACCUAAGAUCCUAAACCCUAAACGCUAAGAAACCUUAUACCUAAGAAACCCUAAUACCCUAAACCCUAUGAAACCUUAAAAACCUUUAAAAACUCGAAACUUAUAUUCUCUAACAAAAAACAUAACCCCUUUAAAACCCCUAAAAACCUUCAACCUAAAACAUAGUAAGCCCUACACCAUAAUUUACACUAAAAUCAUUUUAAAAGAAUCCUAAACCCUAAAAAUCACUAAGAAAACCUAAACCCCUAAUAAUCACAAUGAAAACCAAAACCUUAAAAAAAAACAUUGAAACUCCUAAACCUAAGGAACCCACAAUCCCAAACUUUAAACCCUGAAUCCUUUACCCUAAGAAACCCUAAAUCGUAAGCCAAAAACCCAAACUCUAAAUAUACCCCAAACCCUAAACCCAAAAAAAUCUAAUAAAAACCUAAACCCUAAAAAACAACACAAAAAACUUGAAAAACUCUAAACCUUAAAAACCUCUAAAAUUUCUUAAACCUAAUAAACAUAAACCAUAAACCCUAGAAAAACCCUAAACCUAAAACACUAAACCCUAAAUGACCUAAAAAAAAAAACUAGGAGACCUUAAAUGUUAGACUCAAACCCUAAGAAACCAAAACCCUAAACCUUAGGGAUAAACCCCCAAGCCUAAUCCUUAUGAAACUCUAAGAAGCCCUAAAACCAAAGAAAAACAAAACACUAAUAACCUUUAAAACUCUAAAACUAAAAAUAUCGAAAACAAACAUUCCUAACCCUAAAAAUAUUCCAUAAUCUAAAACCCUAAGUCCUAAGCACUUAGAACUCCUAAACUGUAAAAACAUUAAUGAUCCUAAAAUAUACUUAAGAAUCCUAAGUCGAAAAAAACUUUUAACCUGAAAAAAUCCAAGAAAAACUUAAGCUCUAAACCCUAACCUAAAAACCUUUACCCAAAUACCUAAACUCUUAUUAAUCAUGUUCAGAUUAUACCAUUGUUCCAUAUGCUCUAUUCAGUUAUAUAUAUUUGUUUAGCUUUAUCCUAUCAUGCAUUCUCAGUACCUUUCAAGUACUGACACAUACUCUACGCUACAUCUUCUCGGGAUGUAGGUACAGGUCCUCGGCAUUCGGAUCAUGCGGAGAUCGGUUCCCGAUCCGUAUUCAGAUAAAUCAGUGGUGAGUCCUCGUUCUUCGAGGACGAUUGACAUGUUUUAUAUUCUUUCUUUCAUUUUCUUUUCAGUUUUGCUAGAGUUAGUUGGGGGGGAUGUCCCAGUAUCUCUAGUAAGUUAGAGGCUUUUAUUCAGACAUUAUUUGUGUCACUCCCCGAGGUUACUCCCGUGACGUAAGGCGGGACCUAGGAUCACGAGUAACCCCAAGCUAACCUUGAGUUGGCAUAUCAUAAGCAUAUUAGAUCAACACCUUAAAAAACCUUUACAAGCCUAAACCUAAGAAAUUUGAAACCACUAAGAAACCCUAAGUCAUAAACCCUAAGAAACACUAAACCCUCAGCCUUAGGGAAACCCCAAAACUUAUGAAACACCAACAAACCCUAAACCCUAAGAAAUCCUAAACCCUAAAAACACUAAACCUAAAAAAUCCCUUAAAAUCCCCUAACCCCUAAAAAACCCUAAAUCUAAAAUCCUAUGCCCUAAACUCAAAGAAAUCCUAAUCCCCAAGAACCCCUAAACCGUAGAAAAUUAUAAAAAUCUUGAAAACCCCUUUUAAAAUCCUAAAUGAAAAAAAACUUUCUAAACCUAAAAAAUACUACAAAAACUUAAUCCCUAAGCCUUAAACCUUAAAAACCCUUAAAUAAAAAACUUAGAACUUCAACCCUAAAUCCUAAGAAACCCUAAAUUCUCAACUCUAUACCCAAAGAAACCCUUAACCUUAGGGCUAAAUUUACCCUAAGAGACUACCUUAAGAAAUAAAAAAAACCCUAAAAAACAUUUAAAACCCCUAAACCCUAACCUUUUAAAAACCCUUAGCUCUACGAACCCCUUAAUCGUAAAAAAACCAUAAAUAUCCUAAACACCCUUUAAAACCCAAAACCUAAAAAUUCCUCUAUACCUAAUAAAACCCUAGAAAAUCUUAAGCCCAAAACCCUAAAUUCUAAAAACCCUUUAAAAAACCAAACCCUAAGAAAUCAUAAACACUAAAUCCUAUACCCUAAGAAACUCUAAAUCCUUAACUCUAAACCACAGGGAUAAACCCUAAACCUCAAACCAUAUGGAACACUAAGAAAUCCUAAACUCUAAGAAAACCUAAACCCUAAAAUCCAUUAAAACCCCUAAUACUAUAUUACUCAGGGAAAAAAAUAAAUUCCUUUAAAACCCUAAGCCUUAAAAAAAUCCUAUGCCCUAUAUCCUACGUAACCCUAAAUCUUAAGAAAUCCAAAUUCUUAAAAAACCCUAAGAAACCCUAAAACAUUUAAAAACCCUAAUCAUAAAAAUAAUAAACCUAAAAAAUACCAUAAACCCUAAAAAAACUCUUAACCUAAAACCCGAAACCCUAAACCUUUAACCCUAUACCUUAGGGCCUAAACCCUAAACCUUUGGCCUUAACCCUAAACAUAAAGAAACCCUUAAAACCCCUAAAAACCUUUUAAAACUGUAAACCUAAAAACCCUUAAGAAAUCAUAAGCAUAAACCCUUAAAAAAUUCAAAAAAAAUAAUCUUUAAACCUAAAACCCUAACCCUAAACUCUAAACCAGGAAACCCUAUCAUACCCUAAGAAACACUAAACCCUAAGAAACUCUAAACCUUAAAUCCUUAUAAACCCCUAAUACCUUAAAACCUAAGAUCCUAAACCCUAAACCCUAAGGAACCUUAUACCUAAGAAACCCUAAUACCCUAAACCCUAUGAAACCUUAAAAACCUUUAAAAACUCUAAACCUAUAUUCUCUAACAAUAAAAAAAACCCCUUUUAAAACCCCUAAAAACCUUAAUCCUAAAACACAGUAAGCCCUACACCAUAAUUUACCCUAAAAUCAUUUUAAAAGAAUCCUAAACCCUAUGAAACCCUAAACCCUAAAAAUCACUAAGAAAACCAAAACCUUAAAAAAAACUUUAAAACUCCUAAACGUAAGGAACCCACAAUCCCAAACUUUAAACACUUAAUACUUUACCCUAAGAAGCCCUAAAUCGUAAGCCAAAAACCCAAACUCUAAGAAAACCCCAAACCCUAAACCCAAAAAAACACUAAGAAAAACCUAAACCCGAAAAAAGAACACAAAAUGCUCUAUUCAGUUAUAUAUAUUUGUUCAGCUUUAUCCUAUCAUGCAUUCUCAGUACCUUUCAAGUACUGAAACAUACUCUACGCUACAUCUUCUCGGGAUGUAGGUACAAGUCCUCGGCAUUCGAAUCAUGCGGAGAUCGGUUCCCGAUCCGUAUUCAGCAAUAUCAUUGGUGAGUCCUCGUUCUUCGAGGACGAUUGACAUGUUUUAUAUUCUGUCAUUCAUUUUAUUUUCAGUUUUGCUAGAAUUAGUUGGGGGCAAGUCCCAGUAUCUCUAGUAAGUUAGAGGCUUUUAUUUAGACAUUGUUUUUGUCACUCCCCGAGGUUACUCCCGUGACGUAACGCGGGACCUAGGAUCACGAGUAACCCCAAGCUAACCUUGAGUUGGCAUAUCAUAAGCAUAUUAGAUCAACACCUUAAAAAACCUUUACAAGCAGAAACCUAAGAGAGUUGAACCCCCAAGAAACCCUAAAUCAUAAACCCUAAGAAACACUAAAUCCUUAGCCAUAGGGAAACCCCAAGACUUAUGAAACACCAACAAAGCCUAAACCCUAAGAAAUCCUAAACCCUAAAAACACCUUUAAAAACACUAAACCUAAAAAAUCCCUUAAAUCCCCUAACCCCUAAAAAACCCUAAAUCUAAAAUCUUAUGCCUUAAACUCAAAGAAAUCCUAAUCCCUAAGUACCCUUAAACCGUAGAAAAUUAUAAAAAUCUUGAAAAACCCUUUUAAAACCCCAAACCGAAAAACAACUCUAAACCUAAAAAAUACUACAAAAACUUAAUCCCCAAGCCUUAAACCUUUAAAAGCCUUAAAUAAAAAACUUAGACCUUCAACCCUAAAUCCUAAGAAACCCUAAAUUCUCAACUCUAUACCCAAAGAAACCCUAAACCUUAGGGCUAAAUUUACCCUAAAAGUCUACCUUAAGAAAUAAAAAAAACCCUAAAAAACAUUUAAAACCCCUAAACCCUAAACUUUUAAAAACCCUAAGCUCUACGAACCCCUUAAUCGUAAAAAAACCAUAAAUAUCCUAAACACCCUUUAAAACCCUAAACCUAAAAAUUCCUCUAAACCUAAUAAAACCCUAGAAAAUAUUAAGCCCAAAACCCUAAAUCCUAAAACCCUUUAAAAUACCAAACCCUAAGAAAUCAUAAACGCUAAAUCCUAUACCCUAAGAAACUCUAAAUCCUUAACUCUAAACCAUAGCGAUAAACCCUAAACCUCAAACCAUAUGAAACACUAGGAAAUCUGAAACCCUAAGAAAACCUAAACCCUAAAAUCCAUUAAAACCCCUAAUACUAUAAUACUCGGGGAAAAUAAAUAAAUCCCUUUAAAACCCUAAGCCUUUAAAAAAUCCUAUGCCCUAAAUCCUACGUAACCCUAAAUCUUAAGAAAUCCAAAUUCUUAAAAAACCCUAAGAAACCCUAAAACAUUUUAAAACCCUAAUCAUAAAAAUAAUAAACCUAAAAAAACCAUAAACCCUAAAAAAAACUCUUAACCUAAAACCCGAAACCCUAAACCUUAAACCCUAUACCUUAGGGCCUAAACCCUAAACCUUUGGCCUUAACCCUAAACAUAAAGAAACCCUUAAAACCCCUAAAAACCUUUUAAAACUGUAAACCUAAAAACCCUUAAGAAAUCAUAAGCAUAAACCCUUAAAAAACUCAAAAAACAUUAAUCUUUUAAACCUAAAACCCUAAGCCCUAAACUCUAAACAAGGAAACCCUAUCAUACUCUAAGAAACACUAAACCCUAAGAAACUCAAAACAUUAAACCCUUAUAAACCCUAAUACCUUAAAACCUAAGAUCCUAAACCCUAAACCCUAAGGAACCUUAUACCUAAGAAACCCUAAUACCCUAAACCCUAUGAAAUCUUUAAAACCAUUAAAAACUCUAAACCUAUAUUAUCUAACAAAAAAAAAACCCCUUUUAAAACCCAUUAAAACCUUAAACCUAAAACACAGUAAGCCCUACACCAUAAUUUACCCUAAAAUCAUUUUAAAAGAAUCCUAAACCCUAUGAAACCCUAAACCCUAAAAAUCACUAAGAAAACCUAAACCCUAAAAAUCACUAAGAAAACCAAAACUAUAAAAAAAAACUUUAAAACUCCUAAACCUAAGGAACCCACAAUCCCAAACAUUAAACCCUGAAUCCUUUACCCUAAGAAACCCUAAAUCGUAAGCCAAAAACCCAAACUCUAAGAAAUCCCCAAACCCUAAACCCAAAAAAACACUAAGAAAAACCUAAACCCUAAAAAACAACACAAAAAACUUUAAAAACUCUAAACCUUAAAAACCUCUAAAAAAAUCUUAAACCUAACAAACAUAAACCCUAAACCCUAGAAAAACCCUAAACCUAAAACACUUAACCCUAAAUGACCCCCAAAAAAAAAACUAGGAGACCUUAAAUGUUAAACUCAAACCCUAAGAAACCUAAACCCUAAACCUUAGGGAUAAACCCCUAAGCCUAAUCCUUAUGAAACUCUAUGAAGCCCUAAAUCCUAAGAAAAACAAAACACUAAUAACCUUUAAAACUCUAAAACUAAAAAUCUCGAAAACAAACCUUACAAACCCUGAAAAAACUCCAUAAUCUAAAACGCUAAGUCCUAAGCCCUUAGAACUCCUAAACCGUAAAUACAUUAAUGAUCCUAAAAAAUCCUUAAGAAUCCUAGGUCGAAAAAAAACUCUUAACCUAAAAAAGUCCAAGAAAAACUUAAGCUUUAAACCCUAACCGAAAAACCUUUACCCAAAUACCUAAACUCUUAUUAAUCAUAUUCAGAUUAUACCAUUGUUCAAUAUGCUCUAUUCAGUUAUAUAUAUUUGUUCAGCUUCUUCCUAUCAUGCAUUCUCAGUACCUUUCAAGUAUUGACACAUAUUCUAAGCUACAUCUUCUCGGGAUGUGGCUAAAGGUCCUCGGCAUUCGGAUCAUGCGGAGAUCGGUUCCCGAUCCGUAUUCAGCAAUAUCAUUGGUUAAUCAUCGUUCUUCGAGGAUGAUUGACAUGUUUUAUAUUCUGUCUUUCAUUUUUAUUUUAAGUUUUGCUAGAGUUAGUUGGGGGCAUGUCCCAGUAUCUCUAGUAAGUUAGAGGCUUUUAUUCAGACAUUGUUUUUGUCACUCCCCGAGGUUACUCCCGUGACGUAACGAGGGGACCUAGGAUCACGAGUAACCCCAAUCUAACCUUGAGUUGGCAUAUCAUAAGUAUAUUAGAUCAACACCUUAAAAAACCAUUACAAGCCUAAACCUAAGAAAUUUGAAAUCCCUAGGAAACCAUAAAUCAUAAACCCUAAGAAACACUAAACCCUCAGCCUUAGGGAAACCCCAAGACUUAUGAAACACCAACAAACCCUAAACCCUAAGAAAUCCUAAACCCUAAAAACACCUUUAAAAANNNNNNNNNNNNNNNNNNNNNNNNNNNNNNNNNNNNNNNNNNNNNNNNNNNNNNNNNNNNNNNNNNNNNNNNNNNNNNNNNNNNNNNNNNNNNNNNNNNNNNNNNNNNNNNNNNNNNNNNNNNNNNNNNNNNNNNNNNNNNNNNNNNNNNNNNNNNNNNNNNNNNNNNNNNNNNNNNNNNNNNNNNNNNNNNNNNNNNNNNNNNNNNNNNNNNNNNNNNNNNNNNNNNNNNNNNNNNNNNNNNNNNNNNNNNNNNNNNNNNNNNNNNNNNNNNNNNNNNNNNNNNNNNNNNNNNNNNNNNNNNNNNNNNNNNNNNNNNNNNNNNNNNNNNNNNNNNNNNNNNNNNNNNNNNNNNNNNNNNNNNNNNNNNNNNNNNNNNNNNNNNNNNNNNNNNNNNNNNNNNNNNNNNNNNNNNNNNNNNNNNNNNNNNNNNNNNNNNNNNNNNNNNNNNNNNNNNNNNNNNNNNNNNNNNNNNNNNNNNNNNNNNNNNNNNNNNNNNNNNNNNNNNNNNNNNNNNNNNNNNNNNNNNNNNNNNNNNNNNNNNNNNNNNNNNNNNNNNNNNNNNNNNNNNNNNNNNNNNNNNNNNNNNNNNNNNNNNNNNNNNNNNNNNNNNNNNNNNNNNNNNNNNNNNNNNNNNNNNNNNNNNNNNNNNNNNNNNNNNNNNNNNNNNNNNNNNNNNNNNNNNNNNNNNNNNNNNNNNNNNNNNNNNNNNNNNNNNNNNNNNNNNNNNNNNNNNNNNNNNNNNNNNNNNUCUCAGUACCUUUCUAGUACUGACACAUACUCUACGCUACAUCUUCUCGGGAUGUACGUACAGGUCCUCGGCAUUAGGAUCAUGCGGAGAUCGGUUCCCGAUCCGUAUUCAACAAUAUCAGUNNNNNNNNNNNNNNNNNNNNNNNNNNNNNNNNNNNNNNNNNNNNNNNNNNNNNNNNNNNNNNNNNNNNNNNNNNNNNNNNNNNNNNNNNNNNNNNNNNNNNNNNNNNNNNNNNNNNNNNCUGGGGGCUUGUCCCAGCAUCUCUAGUUAGUUAGAUGCUUUUAUUCAUAAAUUGUUUUUGUCACUCCCCGAGGUUACUCUCGUGACGUAACGAGGGACCUAGGAUCACGAGUAACCCCAAGCUAACCUUGAGUUGGCAUAUCAUAAGCAUANNNNNNNNNNNNNNNNNNNNNNNNNNNNNNNNNNNNNNNNNNNNNNNNNNNNNNNNNNNNNNNNNNNNNNNNNNNNNNNNNNNNNNNNNNNNNNNNNNNNNNNNNNNNNNNNNNNNNNNNNNNNNNNNNUCUAAGAAACACUAAACCCUAAACCUUAGGGAAAUCCCAAGACUUAUGAAACACCAACAAACCCUAAACCCUGAAAACACCUUUAAAAACACUAAACCUAAAAAAUCCCUUAAAUCCCCUAACCCCUAAAAAACCCUAAAUCUAAAAUCCUAUACCCUAAACUCAAAGAAAUCCUAAUCCCUAAGUACCCUUAUACCGUAGAAAAUUAUAAAAAUAUUGAAAAACCCUUUUAAAAUCCUAAACCGAAAAAAAACUCUAAACCUAAAAAAUACUACAAAAACUUAAUCCCUAAGCCUUAAACCUUAAAAACCCUUAAAUAAAAAACUUAGACCUUCAACCCUAAACCCUAAGAAACCCUAAAUGCUCAACUCUAUACCCAAAGAAAACCUAAACCUUAGGGCUAAAUUUACCCUAAGAGUCUACCUUAAGAAAUAAAAAAAACCCUAAAAAACAUUCAAAACCCCUAAACCCUAAACUUUAAAAAACCCUAAGCUCUACGAUCCCCUUAAUCGUAAAAAAUCCAUAAAUAUCCCAAACACCCUUUAAAACCCUAAACCUAAAAAUUUAUCUAAACCUAAUAAAACCCUAGAAAAUAUUAAGCCCAAAACCCUAAAAUCCUUAAAAUCCUUUAAAAAACCAAACCCUAAGAUAUCAUAAACGCUAAAUCCUAUACCCUAAGAAACUCUAAAUCCUUAACUCUAAACCAUAGGGAUAAACCCUAAACCUCAAACCAUAUGAAACACUAAGAAAUCCUAAACCCUAAAAAAACCUAAUCCUUAAAAUCCAUUAAAACCCCUAAUACUAUAAUACUCGGGGGAAAAAAAAAUCCCUUUAAAACCCUAAGCCAUAAAAAAAUCCUAUGCCCUAAAUCCUACGUAACCAUAAAUCAUAAGAAAUCCAAAUUCUUAAAAAACCCAAAGAAACCCUAAAACAUUUAUAAACCCUAAUCAUAAAAAUAAAAAACCUAAAAAAACCAUAAACCCUAAAAAAAACUCUUAAUCUAAAAGCCGAAACCCUAAACCUUAAACCCUAUCCCUUAGGGCCUAAAACCUAAACCUUUGGCCUUAACCCUAAACAUAAAGAAACCCUUAAAACCCCUAAAAACCUUUUAAAAUUUUUCUUGGAUUUUUUUAGGUUAAGAGUUUUUUUUCGACUUAGGAUUCUUUUAGGAUUUUUUUAGGAUCAUUAAUGUAUUUACGGUUUAGGAGUUCUAAGGGCUUAGGACUUAGGGUUUUAGAUUAUGGAAGUUUUAUAUCGUUUGUAGGGUUUGUUUUCGGGAUUUUUAGUUUUAGAGUUUUAAAGGUUAUUAGUGUUUUGUUUUUCUUAGGAAUUAGGUCUUCUUAGAGUUUCAUAAGGAUUAGGCUUGGGGUUUUAUCCCCAAGGUUUAGGUUUUAGGUUUGUUAGGGUUUGAGUUUAACAUUUAAGGUCUCCUAGUUUUUUUUUUGGGGUCAUUUAGGGUUUAGUGUUUUAGGUUUAUGGUUUUUUUCUAGGGUUUAGGGUUUAUGUUUGUUAGGUUUAAGAUUUUUGUAGAGGUUUUUUAAGGUUUAGAGUUUUUAAAGUUUUUUGUGUUGUUUUUUAGGGUUUAGGUUUUUAUUAGUGUUUUUUUGGGUUUAGGGUUUUCUUAGAGUUUGGGUUUUUGACUUACGAUUUAGGGUUUCUUAGGGUAAAGCAUUCAGGGUUUAAAGUUUGGAAUUGUGGGUUCCUUAGGUUUAGGAGUUUUAAAGUUUUUUUUUAAGGUUUUGGUUUUCUUAGUGAUUUUUAGGGUUUAGGUUUUCUUAGUGAUUUUUAGGGUUUAGGGUUUCAUAGGGUUUAGGAUUCUUUUAAAAUGAUUUUAGGGUAAAAUAUGAUGUAGGGCUUACUGUGUUUUAGGUUUAAGGUUUUUAGGGGUUUUAAAAGGGUUUUUUUUUAUUGUUAGAGAAUAUAGGUAUAGAGUUUUUAAAAGGUUUUUAAGGUUUCAUAGGGUUUAGGGUAUUAGGGUUUCUUAGGUAUAAGGUUCCUUAGGGCUUAGGGUUUUGUAUCUUAGGUUUUAAGGUAUUAGUUUUAUAAGGGUUUAAGGUUUAGAGUUUCUUAGGGUUUAGUGUUUCUUAGAGUAUGAUAGGGUUUCCUGGUUUAGAGUUUAGGGCUUAGCGUUUUAGGUUUAAAGAUUAUUUUUUUUGAGUUUUUUAAGGGUUUAUGCUUAUGAUUUCUUAAUGGUUUUUAGGUUUACAGUUUUAAAAGGUUUUUAGGGUUUUAAGGGUUUCUUUAUGUUUAGGGUUAAGGCCAAAGGUUUAGGGUUUAGGCCCUAAGGGAUAGGGUUUAAGGUUUAGGGUUUCGGGUUUUAGGUUAAGAGUUUUUUUUAGGGUUUAUGGUUUUUUUUAGGUUUAUUAUUUUUAUGAUUAGGGUUUUUAAAUGUUUUAGGGUUUCUUAGCGUUUUUUAUGAAUUUGGAUUCUUAAGAUUUAGGGUUACGCAGGAUUUUGGGCAUAGGAUUUUUUUAAGGCUUAGGGUUUUAAAGGGAUUUAUUCUUUUCCCCGAGUAUUAUAGUAUUAGGGGUUUUAAUGGAUUUUAAGGUUUAUGUUUUCUUAGGGUUUAGGUAUUUUCUUAGUGUUUCAUAUGGUUUGAGGUUUAGGGUUUAUCCCUAUGGUUUAGAGUUAAGGAUUUAGAGUUUCUUGGGGUAUAGGAUUUAGCGUUUAUGAUUUCUUAGGGUUUGGUUUUUUAAAGGAUUUUUAAGGAUUUAGGGUUUUGGGCUUAACAUUUUCUAGGGUUUUAUUAGGUUUAGAGGAACCUUUAGGUUUAGGGUUUUAAAGGGUGUUUAGGUUAUUUAUGGUUUUUUUACGAUUAAGUGGUUCGUAGAGCUUAGGGUUUUUUAAAGUUUAGGGUUUAGGGGUUUUAAAUGUUUUUUAGGGUUUUUUUAUUUCUUAAGGUAGACUCUUAGGGUAAAUUUAUCCCUAAGGUUUAGGGUUUCAUUGGGUAUAGAGUUGAGCAUUUAGGGUUUUUAGGAUUUAGGGUUGAUGGUCUAAUUUUUUAACUUAAGGGUUUUUCAGGUUUAAGGCUUAGGGAUUAAGUUUUUGGAGUAUUUUUUAGGUUUAGAGUUUUUUUUUGGUUUAGGAUUUUAAAAGGGUUUUUCAAGAUUUUUAUAAUUUUCUAUGGUUUAGGGGUUCUUAGGGAUUAGGAUUUCUUUGAGUUUAGGGCUUAGGAUUUUAGAUUUAGGAUUUUUUAGGGGUUAGGGGAUUUAAGGGAUUUUUUAGGUUUAGUGUUUUUAAAUGUGUUUUUAGGGUUUAGGAUUUCUUAGGGUUUAUGGUUUGUUGGUGUUUCAUAAGUCUUGGGGUUUCCCUAAGGCUGAGGCUUUAGUGUUUCAUAGGCUUUAUGAUUUAGGGUUUCUUAGGGUUUAUGGUUUGUUGGUGUUUCAUAAGUCUUGGGGUUUCCCUAAGGCUGAGGCUUUAGUGUUUCAUAGGCUUUAUGAUUUAGGGUUUCUUAGGGGUUUCAAAUUUGUUAUGUUUAGGCUUGUAAAGCUUUUUGAAGGUGUUGAUCUAAUAUGCUUAUGAUAUGCCAACUCAAGGUUAGCUUGGGGUUACUCGUGUUCCUAGGUCCCGCGUUACGUCGCGGGAGUAACCUCGGGGAGUGACAAAAAUAAUGUCUGAAAAAAAGCCUCUAACUUACUAGAGAUACUGGGACAUGCCACCAACUAAUUCUAGAUAAACUGAAUAUAAAAUGAAAGACAGAAUAUAAAAUAGGUCAAUCGUCCUCGAAGAACGAGGACUCACCACUGAUAUUGCUGAAUACGGAUCGAGAAACGAUCUCCGCAUGAUCCGAAUGCCGAGGACCUGUACCUACAUCCCGAGAAGAUGUAGCUUAGAGUAUGUGUCAGUACUUGAAAGGUACUGAGAAUUCAUGAUAGGAUAAAGUUGAACAAAUAUAUAUAACUGAAAAGAGCAUAUGGAACAAUGGUAUAAUCUGAACAUGAUUAAUAAGAGUUUAGGUAUUUGGGUAAAGGUUUUUAGGUUCGGGUUUAGAGCUUAAGUUUUUCUUGGAUUUUUUUAGGUUAAGAGUUUUUUUCGACUUAGGAUUCUUAAGGAUUUUUUAGGAUCAUUAAUGUAUUUACGGUUUAGGAGUUCAAAGGGAUUAGGACUUAGGGUUUUAGAUUAUGGAAUUUUUUUAGGGUUUGUAAGGUUUGUUUUCGGGAUUAUUAGUUAUGGAGUUUGAAAGGUUAUUAGUGUUUUGUUUUUCUUAGGAUUUAGGUCUUCUUAGAGUUUCAUAAGGAUUAGGCUUGGGGGUUUAUCCCCAAGGUUUAGGGUUUAGGUUUCUUAGGGUUUGAGUUUAACAUUUAAGGUCUCCUAGUUUAUUUUUUGGGGUCAUUUAGGGUUUAGUGAUUUAGGUUUAGGGUUUUUCUAGGGUUUAGGGUUUAUGUUUGUUAGGUUUAAGAUUUUUUAGAGGUUUUUAAGGUUUAGAAUUUUUAAAGUUUUUUGUGUAGUUUUUUAGGGUUUAGGUUUUUCUUAGUGUUUUUUAGGGUUUAGGGUUUGGGGUUUUCUUAGAGUUUGGGUUUUUGGCUUACGAUUUAGGGUUUCUUAGGGUAAAGGAUUCAGGGUUUAAAGUUUGGGAUUGUGGGUUCCUUAGGUUUAGGAGUUUUAAAGUUUUUUUUAAGGUUUUGGUUUUCAUAUUGAUUUUUAGGGUUUAGGUUUUCUUAGUGAUUUUUAGGGUUUAGGGUUUCAUAGGGAUUAGGAUUCUUUUAAAAUAAUUUUAGGGUAAAUUAUGGUGUAGGGCUUACUGUGUUUUAGGUUUAAGGUUUUUAGGGGUUUUAAAAGGAAUUUUUUUUUAUUGUUAGAGAAUAUAGGUUUAGAGUUUUUAAAAGUUUUUAAGAUUUCAUAGGGAGGGUAUUAGGGUUUGUUAGGUAUAAGGUUCCUUAGGGUUUAGGGUUUAGUAUCUUAGGUUUUAAGGUAUUAGGGUUUAUAAGGGUUUAAGGUUUAGAGUUUCUUAGGGUUUAGUAUUUCUUGGAGUACGAUAGGGUUUCCUGGUUUAGAGUUUCGGGCUUAGGGUUUUAGGUUUAAAGAUUAUGUUUUUUGAGUUUUUUUAAGGGUUUAUGCUUAUGAUUUUUUAAGGGUUUUUAGGUUUAGAAUUUGAAAGGGUUUUUAGGGGUUUUAAGGGUUUCUUUAUGUUUAGGGUUAAGGCCAAAGGUUUAGGGUUUAGGCCCUAAGGUAUAGGGUUUAAGGUUUAGGGUUUCGGGUUUUAGGUUAAGAGUUUUUUUUAGGGUUUAUGGUUUUUUUAGGUUUAUUAUUUUUAUGAUUAGGGUUUUUAAAUGUUUUAGGGUUUAUUAGUGUUUUUUAAGAAUUUGGAUUUCUUAUGAUUUAGGGUUACGUAGGAUUUAGGGCAUAGGAUUUUUUUAAGACUUAGGGUUUUAAAGGGAUUUAUUUUCCCCCCCCGAGUAUUAUAGUAUUAGGGUUUUAAUGGAUUUUUGGGUUUAGGUUUUCUUAGGGUUUAGGAUUUCUUAGUGUUUCAUAUGGUUUGAGGUUUAAGGUAGACUCUUAGGGUAAAUUUAUCCCUAAGGUUUAGGGUUUCAUUGGGUAUAGAGUUAAGAAUUUAGGGUUUCUUAGGAUUUAAGGUUGAAUGUCUAAGUUUUUUAUUUAAGAGUUUUAAAGGUUUAAGGCUUAGGGAUUAAGUUUUUGUAGUAUUUUUUUAGGGUUAGAGUUAUUUUUCGGUUUAGGGUUUUAAAAGGGUUUUUCAAGAUUUUUAUAAUUUUCUACGGUUUAGGGGCUCUUAGGGAUUAGGAUUUAUUUGAAUUUAGGGCUUAGGAUUUUAGAUUUAGGGAUUUUUAGAGAUUAGGGGAUUUAAGGGAUUUUUUAGGUUUAGUGUUUUUAAAGGUGUUUUUAGGGUUUAGGAUUUCUUAGGGUUUAGGGUUUAUUGGUGUUUCAUAAGUCAUGGGGUUUCUCUGAGGCUGAGGGUUUAGUGUUUCUUAGGGUUUAUGAUUUAGGGUUUCUUAGGGGUUUCGAAUUUCUUAGGUUUAGGCUUGUAAAGGUUUUUUAAGGUGUUGAGCUAAUAUGCUUAUGAUAUGCCUACUCAAGGUUAGCUUGGGGUUACUCGUGAUCCUAGGUCCCGCGUUACGUCUCGGGAGUAACCUCGGGGAGUGACAAAAACAAUGUCUGAAUAAAAGCCUCUAACUUACUAGAGAUACUGGGUCAUGCCCCCAACUAAUUCUAGCAAAACUGAAAAUAAAAUGAAAGACAGAAUAUAAAACAUGUCAAUCGUCCUCGAAGAACAAGGACUCACCACUGAUAUUGCUGAAUACGGAUCGGGAACCGAUCUCCGCAUGAUCGGAAUGUCGAGGACCUGUACCUACAUCCCGAGAAGAUGUAGCGUAGAGUAUGUGUCAGUACUUGAAAGGUACUGAGAAGUCAUGAUAGGAUAAAGCUGAACAAAUAUAUAUAACUUAAUAGGGCAUAUUGAACAAUGGUAUAAUCUGAACCUGAUUAAUAAGAGUUUAGGUAUUUGGGUAAAGGUUUUUAGGUUAGGGUUUAGAGCUUAUGUUUUUCUUGGAUUUUUUUAUGUUAAGAGUUUUUUUUCGAAUUAGGAUUCUUAAGGAUUUUUUAGGAUCAUUAAUGUAUUUACGGUUUGGGAGUUCUAAGGGCUUAGGACUUAGGGUUUUAGAUUAUGGAAUUUUUUUAGGGUUUGUAAGGUUUGUUUUCGGGNNNAAUAAGAGUUUAGGUAUUUGGGUAAAGGUUUUUAGGUUAGGGUUUAGAGCUUAAGUUUUUCAAAAUUUUUUAGGUCAAGAGUUGUUUUCAAUUUAGGAUUGAUAAAGAUUUUUUAGGAUCAAUAUUGUUUUUUACGAUAUACGAGUUCUAAGGGCUUAGGACAUAGGGUUUUAGAUUAUGGAUUUUUUUUAGGGUUUGUAAGUUUUAUUUUCAGGAUUUUUAGUUUUAAAGGUUAUUAGUGUUUUGUUUUUCUUAGGAUUUAGGGCUUCUUAGAGUUUCAUAAGGAUUAGGCUUGGGGGUUUAUCCCUAAGGUUUAGGGUUUAGGUUUCUUAGGGUUUGAGUUUAACAUUUAAGGUCUUCUAGUUUUUUUGGGGUCAUUUAGGGUUUAGUGUUUUAGGUUUAGCGUUUUUCUAUGGUUUAGGGUUUAUGUUUAUUAGGUUUAAGCUUUUUUAGAGGUUUUUAAGGUUUAGAGUUUUUAAAAGUUUUUUGUGUUGUUUUUAGGGUUAGGUUUUCUUAGUGUUUUUUUGGGUUAGGUUUUCUUAGAGUUUGGGUUUUUGGCUUACGAUUUAGGGUUUCUUAGGUUAAAAGGAUUCAGGGUUUAAAAGUUUUGGGAUUGUGGGUUUCCUUAGGUUUAGGAGUUUUUCAAGUUUUUUUUUAAAGGUUUUGGUUUUCUUAGUGAUUUUUAGGGUUUAGGUUUUCUUAGUUAUUUUUAGGGUUUCAUAGGGUUUAGGAUUCUUUUAAAAUUAUUUUAGUUAAAGGAUUCAGGGUUUAAAGUUUGGGAUUGUGGGUUCCUUAGGUUUAGGAGUUUUUCAAGUUUUUUUUUAAAGGUUUUGGUUUUCUUAGUGAUUUUUAGGGUUUAGGUUUUCUUAGUUAUUUUUAGGGUUUCAUAGGGUUUAGGAUUCUUUUAAAAUUAUUUUAGGGUAAAUUAUGGUGUAGGGCUUACUGUGUUUUAGGUUUAAAGUUUUUAGGGGUUUUAAAAGGGUUUUUUUUUUAUUGUUAGAGAAUAUAGGUUUAGAGUUUUAAAGGUGUUUAAGGUUUCAUAGGGUUUAGGGUAUUAGGGUUUCUUAGGUAUAAGGUUCCUUAAGGUUUAGGGUUUAGGAUCUUAGGUUUUAUGGUAUUAUGGUUUAUAAGGGUUUAAGGUUUAGAGUUUCUUAGGGUUUAGUGUUUGUUAGAGUAUGAUAGGGUUUCCUGGUUUAGAGUUUAGAGAUUAGGGUUUUAAGUUUAAAGAUUAUUGUUUUUGAGUUUUUUAAGGGUUUAUGCUUAUGAUUUCUUAAGGGUUUAUAGGUUUAGAGUUGUAAUACGUUUUUAGGGGUUUAAAGGGUUUCUUUAUUUUUAGGGUUAAGGCCAAAGGUUUAGGGUUUAGGCCCUAAGGUAUAGGGUUUAAGGUUUAGGGAUUCGGGUUUUAGGUUAAGAGUUUUUUUUAGGUUUAUUAAUUUUAUGAUUAGGGUUUUUAAAUGUUUUAGGGUUUAUUAGGGUUUUUUGAGAAUUUGGAAUUCUUAAGAUUUAGGGUUACGUAGGAUUUAGGGCAUAGGAUCUUUUUAAGGCUUAGGAUUUUAAAGGGAUUUAUUUUUUUCCCCGAGUAUUAUAGUAUUAGGGUUUUUAAUUUAUUUUAGGGUUUAGGUUUUCUUAGGGUUUAGGAUUUCUUAGUGUUUUGUAUGGUUUGACGUUUAGGGUUUAUCCCUAUGGUUUAGAGUUAAGGAUUUAGAGUUUCUUAGGGUAUAGGAUUUAGCGUUUAUGAUUUCUUAGGGUUUGGCUUUUUAAAGGGUUUUUAGGAUUUAGGGUUUUGGGCUUAAGAUUUUCUAGGGUUUUAUUAGGUUUAUAGGAGUUUUUAGGUUUAGGGUUUUAAAGGGUGUUUAGGAUAUUUAUGGUUUUUUUAACGAUUAAGAGGUUCGUCGAGCUUAGGGUUUUUAAAAGUUUAGGGUUUAGGAUUUUAAAAGGGUUUUUCAAGAUUUUUAUAUUUUUCUACGGUUUAUGGGUUCUUAGGGAUUAGGAUUUAUUUAAGUUUAGGGCUUAGGAUUUUAGAUUUAGGGUUUUUUAGGGUUUAGGCGAUUUAAUGGAUUUUUUAGGUUUAGUGUUUUUAAAUGUGAUUUUAGGGUUUAGGAUUUCUUAGGAUUUAGGGUUUGUUGGUGUUUCAUAAGUCUUGGGGUUUUCCUAAGGCUGAGGGUUUAGUGUUUCUUAGGGUUUAUGAUUUAGGGUUUCUUAGGGGUUUCAAAUUUCUUAAUUUUAGGCCUGUAAAGGUUUUUUAAGGUGUUGAUCUAAUAUGCUUAUGAUAUGCCAACUCAAGGUUAGCUUGGGGUUACUCGUGAUCCUAGGUCCCGCGUUACGUCACGGGAGUAACCUCGGGGAGUGACAAAAACAAUUUAUGAAUAAAAGCAUCUAACUAACUAGAGAUGCUGGGACAAGCCCCCAGCUAAGUUUAGCAAAACUGAAACNNNNNNNNNNNNNNNNNNNNNNNNNNNNNNNNNNNNNNNNNNNNNNNNNNNNNNNNNNNNNNNNNNNNNNNNNNNNNNNNNNNNNNNNNNNNNNNNNNNNNNNNNNNNNNNNNNNNNNNNNNNNNNNNNNNNNNNNNNNNNNNNNNNNNNNNNNNNNNNNNNNNNNNNNNNNNNNNNNNNNNNNNNNNNNNNNNNNNNNNNNNNNNNNNNNNNNNNNNNNNNNNNNNNNNNNNNNNNNNNNNNNNNNNNNNNNNNNNNNNNNNNNNNNNNNNNNNNNNNNNNNNNNNNNNNNNNNNNNNNNNNNNNNNNNNNNNNNNNNNNNNNNNNNNNNNNNNNNNNNNNNNNNNNNNNNNNNNNNNNNNNNNNNNNNUUUUUCUAGGGUUUAGGGUUUAUGUUUGUUAGGUUGAAGAUUUUUUAGAGGUUUUUAAUGUUUAGAGUUUUUAAAGUUUUUUUUGUUGUUUUUAAGGGUUUAGUUUUUUCUUAGUGUUUUUUUGGGUUUAGGGUUUUCUUAGAGUUUGGGUUUUUGGCUUACGAUUUCGGGUUUCUUAGGGUAAAGGAUUCAGGGUUUAAAGUUUGGGAUUGUGGGUUCCUUAGGUUUAGGAGUUUUAAAGUUUUUUUUAAGGUUUUGGUUUUUUAAGUGAUUUUUAGGGUUUAGGUUUUCUUAAUGAUUUUUAGGGUUUAGGAUUCUUUUAAAUUGAUUUUAGGGUAAAUUAUGGUGUAGGGCCUACUGUUUUUUUAGGUUUAAGGUUUUUAGGGGUUUUAAAGGUGUUUUUUUUUUGUUAGAGAAUAUAGGUUUCGAGUUUUUGAAGGUUUUUAAGGUUUCAUAGGGUUUAGGAUAUUAGGGUUUCUUAGGUAUAAGGUUUCUUAGGGUUUAGGGUUUAGGAUCUUAGGUUUUAAGGUAUUAGGGUUUAUAAGUGUUUAAGGUUUAGAGUUUCUUAGGGUUUAGUGUUUCUUAGAGUAUGAUAGGGUUUCCUGCUUUAGAGUUUAGGGGAUUAGGGUUUUAGGUUUAAAGAUUAUUGUUUUUGAGUUUUUUAAGGGUUUAUGCUUAUGAUUUCUUAGGGGUUUUUAGGUUUAGAGUUUUAAAAAGUUUUUAGGGGUUUUAAGGGUUUCUUUAUGUUUAGGGUUAAGUCCAAAGGUUUAGGGUUUAGGCCCUAAGGUAUUAGGGUUUAAGGUUUAGGGUUUCGGGUUUUAGGUUAAGAGUUUUUUUAGGGUUUAUGGUUUUUUUAGGUUUAUUAUUUUUAUGAUUAGGGUUUUUAAAUGUUUUAGGGUUAAUUAGGGUUUUUUAAGAAUUUGGAUUUCUUAAGAUUUAGGGUUACGUAGGAUUUAGGGCAUAGGAUCUUUUUAAGACUUAGGGUUUUAAAGGGAUUUAUUUUUUUCCCCGAGUAUUACAGUAUUAGGGGUUUUAAUGGAUUUUAGUGUUUAGGUUUUUUUAGGGUUUAGGAUUUCUUAGUGUUUUGUAUGGUUUGAGGUUUAGGCUUUAUCCCUAUGGUUUAGAGUUAAGGAUUUAGAGUUUCUUAGGGUAUAGGAUUUAGCGUUUAUGAUUUCUUAGGGUUUAGGGUUUGUUGGUGUUUCAUAAGUCUUGGGGUUUCCCUAAGGCUGAGGGUUUAGUGUUUCUUAGGGUUUAUGAUUUAGGGUUUCUUAGGGGUUUCAAAUUUCUUAGGUUUAGGCUUGUAAAGGUUUUUUAAGGUGUUCAUCUAAUAUGCUUAUGAUAUACCAACUCAAGGUUAGCUUGGUGUAACUCCUGAUCCUAGGUCCCGCUUUACGUAACGGGAGUAACCUCUGGGAGUGACAAAAACAAUGUCUGAAUAAAAGCCUCUAACUUACCAGAGAUACUGGGACAUGCCCCCAACUAACUCUAGCAAAUCUGAAAAUAAAAUGAAAGACAAAUUAUAAAACAUGUCAAUCGUCCUCGAAUAACGAGGACUCACCACUUAUAUUUCAGAAUACGGAUCGGGAACCGAUCUCCGCAUGAUCCUAAUGCCGAGGACCUGUACGUACAUCCCGAGAAGAUGUAGCGUAGAGUAUGUGUCAGUACUUUAAAGGUACUGAGAAUGCAUGAUAGGAUAAAGAUGAACAAAUAUAUAUAACUAAAUAGAGCAUAUUUAACUAUGGUAUAAUCUGAACAUGAUUAAUAAGAGUUUAGGUAUUUGGGUAAAGGUUUUUAGGGUAGGGUUUAGAGCUUAAGUUUUUCUUGGAUUUUUUUAGGUUAAGAGUUUUUUUUCGACUUAGGAUUUUUAAGGAUUUUUUAGGAUCAUGAAUGUUUUCACGGUUUAGGAGUUCUAAGGGCUUAGGACUUAGGUUUUUAGAUUAUGUAAUUUUUUUAGGUGUUGUAAGGUUUGUUUUCGGGAUUUUUAGUUUUAGAGUUUUAAAGGUUAUUAGUGUUUUGUUUUCCUUAGUAUUUAGGGCUUCUUAGAGUUUCAUAAGGAUUAGGCUUGGGGGUUUAUCCCUAAGAUUUAGGGUUUAGGUUUCUUAGGGUUUGAGUUUAACAUUUAAGGUCUCCUAGUUUUUUUUUUUGGGUCAUUUAGGGUUUAGUGUUUUAGGUUUAGGGUUUUUUAGGGUUUAGGUUUUCUUAGUGAUUUUUAGGGUUUAGGUUUUCUUAGUGAUUUUUAGGGUUUAGGUUUUCUUAGUGAUUUUUAGGGUUUAGGUUUUCUUAGUGAUUUUUAGGGUUUAGGUUUUCUUAGUGAUUUUUAGGGUUUAGGUUUUCUUAGUGAUUUUUAGGGUUUAGGUUUUCUUAGUGAUUUUUAGGGUUUAGGUUUUCUUAGUGAUUUUUAGGGUUUAGGUUUUCUUAGUGAUUUUUAGGGUUUAGGUUUUCUUAGUGAUUUUUAGGGUUUAGGUUUUCUUAGUGAUUUUUAGGGUUUAGGUUUUCUUAGUGAUUUUUAGGGUUUAGGUUUUCUUAGUGAUUUUUAGGGUUUAGGGUUUCAUAGGGUUUAGAAUUCUUUUAAAAUGAUUUUAGGGUAAAUUAUGGUGUAGGGCUUACUGUGUUUUAGGUUUAUGAUUUUUAGGGGUUUUUUUUUUGUUAGAGAAUAUAGGUUUCGAGUUUUUAAGGGUUUUUAAGGUUUCAUAGAGUUUAGGGUAUUAGGGUUUCUUAGGUAUAAGGUUUCUUAGGGUUUAGGGUUUAGGAUCUUAGGUUUUAAGGUAUUAGGGUUUAUAAGGGUUUAAGGUUUAGAGUUUCUUAGGGUUUAUUGUUUCUUAGAGUAUGAUAGGGUUUCCUGGUUUAGAGUUUAGGGAUUAGGGUUUUAGGUUUAAAGAUUAUUUUUUUGAGUUUUUUAAGGGUUUAUGCUUAUGAUUUCUUAAGGGUUUUUAGGUUUACAGUUUUAAAAGGUGUUUAGGGGUUUUAAGGGUUUCUUUAUGUUUAGGGUUAAGGCCAAAGGUUUAGGGUUUAGGCCCUAAGGUAUAGGGUUUAAGGUUUAGGGUUUCAGGUUUUAGGUUAAGCGUUGUUUUUAGGGUUUAUGGUUUUUUUUAGGUAUAUUAUUUUUAUGAUUAGGGUUUUAAAAUGUUUUAGGGUUUAUUAGGGUUUUUAAGAAUUUGGAUUUCUUAAGAUUUAGGGUUACGUAGGAUUUAGGGAAUAGGAUUUUUUUAAGGCUUAGGGUUUUAAAGGGAUUUAUUCUUUUCCCCGAGUAUUAUAGUAUUAGGAAUUUUAUUGGAUUUUAGGGUUUAGGUUUUCUUAGGGUUUAGGAUUUCUUAGUGUUUCGUAUGGUUUGAGGUUUAGGGUUUAUCCCUAUGGUUUAGAAUUAAGGGUUUAGAGUUUCUUAGGGUAUAGGAUUUAGCAUUUAUGAUUUCUUAGGGUUUGGUUUUUAAAGGGUUUUUAGGAUUUAGGGUUUUGGGCUUAAGAUUUUCUAGGGUUUUAUUAGGUUUAGAGGAAUUUUUAAGUUUAGGGCUUUAAAGGGUGUUUAGGAUAUUUAUGGUUUUUUUACGAUUAAGGGGUUCGUAGAGCUUAGGGUUUUUGAAAGUUUAGGGUUUAGGGGUUUUAAAUGUUUUUUAGGUUUUUUUUUAUUUCUUAAGUUCGACUCUUAGGGUUUAGCCCUAAGGUUUAGGGUUUCUUUGGGUAUAGAGUUGAACAUUUAGGGUUUCUUAGGAUUUAGGGUUGAAGGUCCAAGUUUUUUAUUUAAGGGUUUUUUAAGAUAUAAGGCUUAGGGAUUAAGUUUUUGUAGUAUUUUUAGGUUUAGAGUUUUUUUCGGUUUAGGAUUUUAAAAGGUUUUCAAGAUUUCUAUAAUUUUCUACGGUUUAGGGGUUCUUAGGGAUUAGGAUUUCUUUGAGCAUAGGACUUAGGAUUUUAGAUUUGGGGUUGUUUAGGGGUUAGGGGAUUUAAGGGAUUUUUUAGGUUUAGUGUUUUUAAAGGUGCUUUCAGGGUUUAGGAUUUCUUAGGGUUUAGGGUUUGUUGGUGUUUCAUAAGUCUUGGGGUUUCCCUAAGGCUGAGGGUUUAGUGUUUCUUAGGGUUUAUGAUUUAUGGUUUCUUAGGGGUUUCAAAUAUCUUAGGUUUAGGCUUGUAAAGGUUUUUAAAGGUGUUGAUCUAAUAUGCUUAUGAUAUGCCAACUCAAGGUUAGCUUGGGGUUACUCGUGAUCCUAGGUCCCGCGUUACGUCACGGGAGUAACCUCGGGGAGUGACAAAAACAAUGUCUGAAUUAAAGCCUCUAACUUACUAGAGAUACUGGGACAUGACCCCAACUAACUCUAGCAAAACAGAAAAUAAAAUGAAAGACAGAAUAUAAAACAUGUCAAUAGUCCUCGAAAAAUGAGGACUCACCACUGAUAUUGCUGAAUACGGAUCGGGAACCGAUCUUCGCAUGAUCCGAAUGCCGAGGACCUGUACCUACAUCCCGAGAAGAUGUCGCGUAGAGUAUGUCAGUACUUGAAAGGUACUGAGAAUGCAUGACAGGAUAAAGCUGAACAAAUAUAAAUAACAGAAUAGAGCAUAUUGAACAAUGGUAUAAUCUGAACAUGAUAAAUAAGAGUUUAGAUAUUUUGGUAAAGGUUCUUAGGUUAGGGUGUAAAGCUUAAGUUUUUCUUGGAUUUUUUUAGGUUAAGAGUUUUUUUUCGACUUAGGAUUCUUAAGGAUUUUUUAGGAUCAUUAAUGUUUUUUAUGGUUUAGGAGUUCUAAGGGCUUAGGACUUAGGGUUUUAGAUUAUGGAAUUUUUUAGGGUUUGUAAGGUUUGUUUUCGGGAUUUUUAGUUUUAGAGUUUUAAAGGUUAUUAGUGUUUUGUUUUUCUUAGAAUUUAGGGCUUCUUAGAGUUUCAUAAGGAAUAGGCUUGGGGGUUUAUCCCUAAGGUUAAGUGUUUAAGUUUCUUAGGGUUUGAGUUUAACAUUUAAGGUCUCCUAGUUUUUUUUUUGGGGUCAUUUAGGGUUUAUUGUUUUAGGUUUAGGGUUUUUCUAGUGUUUAGGGUUUAUGUUUGUUAGGUUUAAGAUAUUUUAGAGGUUUUUAAGGUUUAGAGUUUUUAAAGUUUUUUGUGUUGUUUUUUAGGGUUUAGGUUUUUGUUAGUGUUUUAUUGGGUUUAGGGUUUGGGGUUUUCUUAGAGUUUGGGUUUUUGGCUUACGAUUUAGGGUUUCUUAGAGUAAAGGAUUCAGGGUUUAAAGUUUGGGAUUGUGGGUUCCUUAGGUUUAGGAGUUUUAAAGUUCUUUUUUAAGAUUUUGGUUUUCUUAGUGAUAUUUAGGGUUUAGUUUUUUUUAGUGAUUUUUAGGGUUUAGGGUUUCAUAGGGUUUAGGAUUCUUUUAAAAUGAGUUUAGGGUAAAUUAUGGUGUAGGGCUUACUGUGUUUUAGGUUUAAGGUUUUUAGAGGUUUUAAAAGGGGUUUUUUUUUUGUUAGAGAAUAUAGGUUUAAAGUUUUUAAAGGUUUUUAAGGUUUCAUAGUGUUUAGGGUAUUAGGGUUUCUUAGGUCUAAGGUUUCUUAGGGUUUAGGGUUUAGGAUCUUAGGUUUUAAGGUAUUAGGGUUUAUAAGGGUUUAAGGUUUAGAGUUUCUUAGGGUUUAGUGUUUCUUAGAGUAUGAUAGGGUUUCCUGCUUUAGAGUUUAGGGAUUAGGGUUUUAGGUUUAAAGAUUAUUGUUUUUGAGUUUUUUAAGGGUUUAUGCUUAUGAUUUCUUAGGGCUUUUUAGGUUUAGAGUUUUAAAAGGUUUUUAGGGGUUUUAAGGGUUUCUUUAUGUUUAGGGUUAAGGCCAAAGGUUUUGGGUUUAGGCCCUAAGGUAUAGGGUUUAAGGUUUAGGGUUUCGGGUUUUAGGUUAAGAGUUUUUUUUAGGGUUUAUGGUUUUCUUUAGGUUUAUUAUAUUUAUGAUUAGGGUUUUAAAAUGUUUUAGGGUUUAUUAAGGUUUUUUAAGAAUUUAGAUUUCUUAAGAUUUAGGGUUACGUAGGAUUUAGGGCAUAGGAUUUUUUUAAGGCUUAGGGCUUUAAAGGGAUUUAUUUUUUCCCCCGAGUAUUAUAGUAUAAGGGGUUUUAAUGGAUUUGAGGGUAUAGGAUUUCUUAGUGUUUCAUAUGGUUUGAGGUUUAGGGUUUAUCCCUAUGGUUUAGAGUUAAGGAUUUAGAGUUUCUUAGGGUAUAGGAUUUAGCGUUUAUGCUUCCCUAGGGUUUGGGUUUUUAAAGGGUUUUUAGGAUUUAGGGUUUUGGGCUUAAGAUUUUCUAGGGUUUUAUUAGGUUUAGUGGAAUUUUUAGGUUUUGGGUUUUAAAGGGUGUUUAGGAUAUUUAUGGUUUUUUUACGAUUAAGGGGUUCAUAGAGCUUAGGGUUUUUAAAAGUUUAGGUUUUAGGGGUUUUAAAUGUUUUUUAGGGUUUUUUUUAUUUCUUAAGUUAGACUCUUAGGGUUUAGCCCUAAGGUUUAGGGUUUAGCCCUAAGGUUUAGGGUUUCUUUGGGUAUAGAGUUGAGCAUUUAGGGUUUCUUAGGAUUUAGGGUUGAAGGUCUAAGUUUUUUAUUUAAGGUUUUUUAAGGUUUAAGGCUUAGGGAUUAAGUUUUUGUAGUAUUUUUUAGGUUUAGAGUUUUUUUUCGGUUUAGGAUUUUAAAAGGGUUUUUCAAGAUUUCUAUAAUUUUCUACGGUUUAGGGGUUCUUAGUGAUUAGGAUUUCUUUGAGCUUAGGGCUUAGGAUUUUAGAUUUAGGGUUGUUUAGGGGUUAGGGGAUUUAAGGGAUUUUUUAGGUUUAGUGUUUUUAAAGGUGUUUUUAGGGUUUAGGGUUUGUUGGUGUUUCAUAAGUCUUGGGGUUUCCCUAAGGCUGAGGGUUUAGUGUUUCUUAGAGUUUAUAAUUUAGGGUUCCUUAGGGGUUUCAAAUAUCUUAGGUUUAAGCUUGUAAAGGUUUUUUAAGGUGUUGAUCUAAUAUGCUUAUGAUAUGCCAACUCAAGGUUAGCUUGGGAUUACUCGUGAUCCUAGGUCCCGCGUUACGUCACGGGAGUAACCUCGGGGAGUGACAAAAACAAUGUCUGAAUAAAAGCCUCUAACUUACUAGAGAUACUGGGACAUGCCCCCAACUAACUCUAGCAAAACUGAAAAUAAAAUGAAAGACAGAAUAUAAAACAUGUCAAUCAUCCUCGAAAAACGAGGACUUACCACUGAUAUUGCUGAAUACGGAUCGGGAAUCGAUCUACGCAUGAUUCGAAUGCCGAGGACCUGUACCUACAUCCCGAGAAGAUGUAGCGUAGAGUAUGUGUCAGUACCUUUCAAGGUACUGAGAAUGCAUGACAGGAUAAAGAUGAACAAAUAUACAUAACUAAAUAGAGCAUAUUGAACGAUGGUAUAAUCUGGACAUGAUUAAUAAGAGUUUAGGUAUUUGGGUAAAGGUUCUUAGGUUAGGGUUUAGAGCUUAAGUUUUUCUUGGAUUAUUUUAGGUUAAGAGUUUUUUUUCGACUUAGGAUUCUUAAGGAUUUUUUAGGAUCAUUAAUAUUUUUACGGUUUGGGAGUUCUAAGGGCUUAGGACUUAGGGUUUUAGAUUAUGGAAUUUUUUUAGGGUUUGUAAGGUUUGUUUCAGGGAUUUUUAGUUUUAGAGUUUUAAAGGUUAUUAGUGUUUUGUUUUUCUUAGGAUUUAGGGAUUCUUAGAGUUUCAUAAGGAUUAGGAUUGGGGGUUUAUCCCUAAGAUUUAGGGUUUAGGUUUCUUAGGGUUUGAGUUUAACAUUUAAGGUCUCCUAGUUUUUUUUUUGUGUCAUUUGGGGUUUAGUGUUUUUCUAUUUUUUUUUUGGGGUCAUUUAGGGUUUAGUAUUUUAGGUUUAGGGUUUUUCUAGGGUUUAGGGUUUAUGUUUGUUAGGUUUAAGAUUUUUUAGAGGUUUUUAAGGUUUAGAGUUUUUAAAGUUUUUUGUUUUGUUUUUAGGGUUUAGGUUUUUCUUAGUGAUUUUUUUUUUUAUUUUAUUUGAAUGACCCUUGAAGGGGUCAGGGGCUUAGCAACACCCCCAGGCCUUAGCAUAAAUAAAGCAAAAAAUUACAAGGAGGGGGGCUUAAACCUAACCUCCAAACCUAUGGUGGUUCUGUAGUCGACCUACCUAGAAAGGUUAGUCAACUCAUCCCCUUAUAAAAAAGGUGAACCAAGAGACUAAGCACCUAAGAGAGGACUCCUCUCGAAACAAAGAAUCUAGGAAGCAUAAAUAAGGUAGACUCUCCCUUUACAUCAAAAAGUAAACUCUAUACCUAUUCAAGAUUGCUAUACUUUUAUCUUAUAGCAAGGUUGAAAAGAUUGUUCUAAUCUAAAGGGGGCUCUUUGAUUCUUUUGAUUUUCCUUCUCCUGAAACUUGCCAUUCCAAGCAUAUCUAGUUGAUAGUAGGCCCUUGCUUCCCUUGGUAGUUGUUGAUUGUUGCAAUAUAUUUGAGGGCAUGUGAUUUUGUGACUUUGUUUUGAUAAUGAAUCAGCCACAUUAUUGGCUUCUCUGAGGAUGUGUUUGCUCCUAAAGUUGUUGGUUUGGUUGAUGAGCCUUUGAAUUUGUUGUAGCUGUGUGUUAAUGCUCCACGGAGGUUUAGCUUUAAGUGUGAUCCAAUCCACUAAUAAUUGCGAGUCCACUUCCAGAAUGACAUUCUUGUAGCCAAGGUGAAUCAGCCAGGACAUGCCAAAUACGGCUGCUCUUAAUUCAGCUAGGUUGUUCGAACCUUCUCCCAAGGGGGUAGCAAAAGCUAGAAUCAUUUCUCCGUCUUGGUUCCUUAUGAUGCCACCUGCUCCAAUUCUGCCCGGGUUAAUUAAUGCACUGCCGUCUGUGUUGAUUUUGACCCACUGAUCUGGAGGCUUUAUCCAUUUAACACAAGUAACUUUGAUGUCAUGAAUACAUCUUUCCCCCAGCUGAAACAGUUCCCUCCAGGUUGCCGGCCACUUGAUUUGGUGGAAUGUUGUUGUCAUGAGUUUUUAGAUGUCCUUAUAGAUGGCAUAUUUGACUCUACUGAUAUUAGAAUGUUUCCCUUCGUAUUUACUAGCACACCUAUUCUUCCAUAGGUUCCAACAAAUGAAUAUUGGUGUUGCUUGUAAUAAUAGCUUGUGUGCUGCAUUGUUAUGUUUGGUCGACCACCAUUGCAUGAUGAGUUGUGAUAUAGAGCUGUGAUCUGUGUUAACUCCAGUAGCUGCAGCAAAACUUUUCCAUACGCAGGUAGCAAAAUGUCCAUUAUUGAAGAUAUGUUCUAUGGUGUCCAGACCUGUCCUGUUACAACAACAAAAACAAUUUGCUCGCUCAAUGCCAAAGCUGAUUAGUUUUUCAUUAGUAGGUAUUUUACCACGCAAAGUUCUCCAUAAAAGAAAGGAAGCUUUAAAAGGAAUACUCUUAUGCCAACAGAAAUUAUUGAAUGCAGUCUUCGUCCUCUUCUCCCUUAUCUCGUUCCAUGCAGAUGAGCAGGUAAAGUUUCCAUCACUGUUAAGCUUCCAGCAGGCCUGGUCUGGGAUGUCGUGUUGGAUAUGAAGCUCGGUAGCUAAAAUAUUGGCGAGAUAGUUGUGAGGAGCUUGUUGAAUGAGCAUGUUCAAGUUCCACUGACCUUCAACCCAGAAUUCUGCUACCUUGGUGUUGUUGAGCCUAUUGCUGGCAGUGGAGUACUGAGCAAGAGGUCCAAUACCAAGCCAGUCGUCCCACCAGAAGGAACAAUUGCCUGAGUUAAGCUUCCACUGAAUGUGUUCCUCUACUUUAUGUUUAUUAUGCAUGAGAUGCUUCCAGGUCUAGGACUCUCCCGUGUCCCAUUUCUUACUAAUAGGAUUUGAUCUUUGGCAAUAUUUAGCUCUCAAAAAGUCUCCCCAAAGGGUCUACUUGGAUCUAAAACACCACCAUUGUUUGUAUUGGAAAGCUAUGCAAACAUCUUUGAGAUUCCUCAUGCCAACACCUCCCUCUUCAUAAGGAAAGCUUAAAUUUUUCCAAGAAGCCCAAUGGUAUUUUGUUUUUUCAUUCCUCCAUCCCCAGAAGAAGUCAGCCAUGAUGCUUUGGAUCUGUUUCAGAACUGUAAUAGGGGUGGUCACUGCUGAUAAUAGGUGAAUAGGUAGUGACUGUAAUACAUGUUUGAUUAGAAUUGCUCUGCCACCAUAGCUUAAAAGUUUAGUUUGCCAGCCUGUGAUUCUGCAUAAGACUUUGUUAAUAAGGUCAGAAAAAUAAAUAAUCCUAGGUCUACCAAUAAACACGGGGCAACCAAGAUAAGUAAGAGGCCCCGCUUUCUGGCUGAAACCAAUAGUUCUUCUAAUUCUGUCUCUAGUGCUGUUGAAGGCAUUAGGAUGAAACAUGAAGUGGCUUUUGUCAAUAUUAAUAAGCUGGCCUGAGGUCUCUUCAUAAGUCUUCAAAGUUUGCAUGAUGAGUUUGAGAGUUUUCUGCCUUCCAGAGGUGAAGAGUAUAAUGUCAUCAGCAAAGCUUAAAUGGUUCACUUGCGGACCUCUUGGUUCCAUAAAGAAACCAUGGUACUGCUGAUUGCUAUGGAGUCUGUUCAAGGAUCUGGAUAGGACCUCUGCACCUAAAAUAAAUAGGGCAGGGGAUAAGGGGUCCCCUUGUUUGAGACCUCUGGUGGAGUGAAGGAAGCCAUGUCUUUUGCCAUUGACAAUAAUAGAGUACCAGUUGUUAGCCAUGAUCCUCCAAACUAUAUCAAUAAAGACCUCAUCAAACCCCAUUCUUCUCAAAACCAAGCAUAUAUAGGACCAUGAGACUCUAUCGUAUGCUUUAGCCAUGUCCAAUUUAAUGAUCACAUUGCUCCCAAUAUUAGGCUUCUUAAUCUGGUGAAGAAUCUCUUGGGCCAACAUGAUGUUUUCUGAAAUGCUUCUCCCCUUGAUAAAACCUGAUUGGUUAAGAGAAACCAAGGUAGGUAGAAUGGGGCCAAGUCUAGAGCUCAUCAAUUUAGAUAUAAUCUUGCUAGUAAAGUUGCUUAAACUGAUGGGUCUAAACUCAGUGAUUUUAUUAGGAUUGUUCACCUUAGGUAGGAGAACAAUGCAAGAAUGGGAAAAGUAUUUGGGAAUCAUUUGCCCACAAAAAAAUGCUUGAAUAACACCAAAUAGAUCAUUCUUGAUAAUAUGCCAACAUUUUUGGAAGAAGUGCCCAUUCAUCCCAUCAGGACCAGCUGCAGAAUUAGGGUUCUUAGAGAAAACCAUUUCCCUCAAUUCUUCCAUAGUAGGCAUGAUGAUAAGGUUAGCAUUUUGCUCCUGAGUGACCAUCCUGGGGAUACAAUUGAUAGCAUUUUCAUUUAUAGCUCUGUCUUGUCCAGUGAAAAUUUUGUUGAAAUGAUCACAGGCAGCUUCUGCAAUGUUGUCAUCUCCCUGUAUCCACUCUCCUUCCUCACUGAUAAGUUUGUGAAUAAACAGCCUUCUUCUCCUUCCUCUGAUCAGUGAGUGAAAGUAUUUCGUGUUAGCAUCGCCUUCCUUGAACCAUUGUAAUUGAGUUUUUUGUUUCAAAAUGGAGUCUUCCAUUUUUAGGAAUCUAAUAUAUUCUGCAUUGAGUUUAUGGAGAAUUGUCCUGUUAUUUUCUGUGUGAUCUUGAAUAAGACUCUCUUCAGCAAUCUUGACCUUCUCCUCAUACUCCUUGACUUUAAGAAAGAUAUCUUCAAAUUCCCCUUUGGACCAAGAACUAAGAGUGGUGGACAGCCUUUUCAAUUUCUGAUGAAAUUUCCACAUAUUGUUGCCCUCUACAGUUCUGUUCCAACAUGCUUUCACUGUGUCUAGGAAAUUAGGUUGAUCAGUCCAGCAAUUGAGGAAUUUAAAAUAUCUUAUGUGAUUUUCUUCUCUAGGACACAUUUCCAUCAGUAAUGGGCAGUGGUCUGAUCCUACAGAAGAUAGGUGAGUGAUGGUAGUUUGAGGCAUGAUUUCCAACCAGCUAUCAUUAACCAUGGCCCUGUCCAACCUUUUCCAGAUUCUGUUCUGUAUACCCCUUUUAUUUGACCAAGUGAACUUCUGGCCACUGAAGCCUAAAUCAAUAAGUCCACAGGCUUCAGUCACAGCAAUAAAGUCUAAACUCUUCCUCAUGUUAUAUGGUAUCCCUCCCAGCUUUACCUCAAUAGAAGUAAUGACAUUGUAGUCACCUACUGAGCACCAAGGUUUGGUGGUUUCAGUAGAAUGGUACAUCAUUCUAUCCCAUAGGGUCUUCUGAGAUGAUCCUUGCACUUGGCAUACACAAAGGUGGUGAUGAAUUGAUUCUAAAUUUCAUUGUGACCAAUCUCACAAGUAAUUUGUUGUUCAUCUUCCUCAAUUACUACACAAUCAAUGUCCUUAUCCAAAAGAGCCAAAUUUUGCCAUUUCGAUUACUCACAGCAUGUCCAUGGCCAAUUGGUUUUAAAACUUUGGAUCUGAAUAGUAUCCGAGAAUGGUUCUAAAAUAGCAAUGAUGGAAAGUUGGUGCACCUUAAUUAGCAUCUUGAUUCUUUCCAUUACUCCUUGAGUGUUGAUCCCCCUCACAUUCCAAAUAAUUGUACUAAUCAUUGGGAAGAUCUGGAGGAAAAGAGUCUAGUAUUUGGGCUGCCAGCAGUGACAGUGUUGAUAUCUUGCUUUUGAAUUGGAAUUCAUCAUGGUGCAGUCCCCUGGGAGAUAAUCCUUAGGUAUCAGCCACAUGUUGAAUCUCUUCUUCCAGUCCUUUAUCAGGUGAAGGACUAAAAGCUUUUAUCAAUAGCUCACUGGUCUCAUCAUCCUCAUCAGGAUCCUUAAGAGAUUGAUAAUCCCCAUCCAGUUCAUCUUCUGAAUUAUCAACAGCAUAUUCAUCGAUGACUGGACCUUUGUUUAUUUGGCACUUUUCUGGUGAUUUAUCAGGAGGCACAUUAAGAGGUAUGGUCAUAUAUUGUGCCUGCAGAGGAUUAAUAUCCAUUCCCAUCUGUUCAUUUACCAUAAUAAAUUUCUUGCACGUUUCCCCAUCUGUUUGCUGCUCCCUCUGUUCAUUUUUAUCCUGCUGUUGAUUUUGUCUCUUUUUUUCAGCUUCUCUCCUUUUUUUGCUAGGUUUGUUCUUGCUUUUGGUGAUCUGCUCCUGAUUGCUAGUACUAGCCUUUGAUCCCAUAUCUUUUGCCAUAGCUCCCUUGCUUUGUGUAGUUGUAUUUCCUGUCUCACUGUGGCUUUUGUUUUUGCUAUUUUUGUUGGUGUUUUGCUUCUCCUUUUCUGAUCUGUUCUGUUGUUGUACCUGCUGUUGAUUUGGACUCUGUUGUUGACUAGUGGUAGCAGGGGUUCUAAGGUCAUUCCUAUGGUCAAUGUGAAACCCCUCAUGCAUAACAUGAGUCAAAUUCCCCCCUUUGGACACCCCUUCCUGCAAGUUAGUUUGUUUCUCCUGACAUCCCCCAUCCAUCCCUCCUUCAACUUCAACAACAUUAUUAAGAUGAGAAUUAUUGGGGCAUGUGGGGGUUGGGAGCAUUGAGUCAAUACCUGUGCUUUUGUUGUUUGUUUUGUUUCCUGCCUGCUGGACUUGAAUUCUUUGGUUAUGGUCUGCUUUAGACCUUCUUUGUAGUCCCUGGGUUGUUGUCUCUUCUUUACUAUUGUGCUCCUGGAUAUCUUCAUUGAGUUUCUCCUGCAUGGUAAGAUUAGUAAAAGAGUUAUGAUUAGAGGUGUUACCUGUACCUGUUUGCUGAGUUAUGAUUUGUGGUUGUUCUUUUGACAUUUUGUUUUUUGGUGAGGUUGGUCUCCACAUUGUCUUUUGUAUUCUUUCCUCCUGCUGCUUAUUGUUUUUUCUUCUUGGCACCUGCCAUUCUCCUUCCGUUUGCUGCUCAGCUUGUUGUUGAUUAUUCUUUUCCCUAGAGUUUUGGUGUUGCUGCUCCUCUUGAUCCUUUGUCUUCAUUUGCUUGUGUUCAUUUCCUUGUUGCCUUUGCUCUCCUUCCUACAAGCUUUUCAUUUCUGUUCCCAAUUCUUUCCUUCAUUUGAAAUCCUCAUCCCUUAUUUUGAAGUUACAAUCAUCUAUUAUGUGACCCUGAUGUUUGCAGUAAGUACAGUAGGGUGGGAUAUUUUCAUAUUCGAUAGGUUGCCAUCUUCCAAUGGUGAGGUCUUCAUCAUCCAAUCCAAUCCAAACAUGUCUAGGUCUAGUCUUUGUAAGGUCCACUUGGACUUUAACCUUGGCCAUGCUAGCCCUGGUUCUCUUGAUGGAAGCUGUAUCUAAGUAUAGGACAUUGCCCACAGAUUCAAGUAGGGGUGUGAUGAACUCUUUUUUGAAGCAGUGCCAAGGCAAUCCUGGUAGGAGAACCCAUAUAGGAACAAUGGGUGUUCCCUCCUCAGGUCUAAAGUUGGGAGUCCAAGCUUGUAUUCUCAUAAGUUUGCCCUCAAUAGUCAUUCUUUGUUGUGUCCAUACAGUGUUAUAAUCCAAUUCAUUGUCCAAGUCGAUAAACACAUGCCUAGCAUUAUAGUGGGCAAUAUUGACCCCCCCAUUCAGCUGAGUUUGUAGGAUGAAGCUUUUCCUUAUGAGUUCUAUUUUCGGCAUGGUGGUACUGAAUUUACCUAUAAGGGUGUACUUACAAUCCACAGCCAAUUUGUUCAUGAAGUCAUCCAUGUCGUAGAUCACUGCAGGUUGGUCUUGCUUGGUGGUAUGUCUGGGGGAAACCAGCUCUAUGGAGGUAGCUUGUGUAGUAUGGAUUUGUCUAAGUCUUGCAGCCAGUGUUUGUACCACAGUAUAAGGGGGCAGGUUCUGUACGCUGGUCCUGUUUGGUUUUCUGGUUCUCGUUGGUAUUGCUGGGGCCAUUGGAUUCGUUUGGAGGAUUAAUUUGCUGAUCUUUUUGGUUGUAAGUUGUAAGUCGUGUGUCUAUCAAAAUUACUAGAAAUUUUAGGAAACUCUCUAUGAUAAUUAUUGGGUUCAGAGUUCCCUCCAUGAUCAGAUAAAGGAGCUUGACCUUUGUUUUUCUCAUUACUCUUAUUUCGUUCAACCUGCUGUUGGGAUUCCAAGUUCCCCCUGCUCUGUUCCAGAUCAUUCAGUAUAUCAUUCUUUUGUCUCUUUGCACUAGCAGUCACAUGAUCAUCCCUACUACUCAAGUUGACAACAUUUCUAUUCAAGUUAGGAUGAGAAAACUUACCUGCUUGAGUGCCACCCUCACGCGGAUUUUUUCUUGGUGCAUUAUUGUCUGCUGCUUGAAGUUCCUGCCUGUGAUCAUGAUCAAAUUUAGUAUUGUAGUUAGUGUUCAUACCUGGUCUUUGUUGUCCUCCAUUGCUUGGGAUUGUGUCCGAUGGUUUGACUCCAAAUGAGAAUUGUGAUGAGCUUUCCACUUCAAUUACUUCCAGAGUUGUCGACUUUGUAUUCCCAUGUUGAUCAUUUUGGUCUUGGCUUAGACUUGUGUCUCCUUGCUUCGAAUUCAUAGCUAAUUUUUGUGUCUCCAUUGAUUGCAGGUCUUGUUUUUUACCAUUGGGACCUUCAUGGUCUUGAGAAAAUGUCCCCUGAUGAUUUGCUUCAGUUUUUCCAUUGAGUUCUUCAACUUCAACUUGUUGUUUGGUUGUAGAUUUAUCAAAACUUGCCUGAAUUACAUCUUGGUGGUGAUCUUGAGGUAUAUUGAUGGGUAUGUUAGUAAGAUGGACCUCUUCCUCCAUCGAAUAAUUCCCAGUAGCAGUGCCACCGUCACUGUUCAUUUUUUCGGCUAUUUGCUCACCGGAGUUCAUGUUCCCGGCGACUGAGCCGUCCAUUUUACUUGAAAUUGCAGUGAGGUGUACCUCUUCAACAUGUGAGAAAUCCCCAGUGGUCAAUUCGCCAUGAAAUUGGCGUGAAGGUGGACGAAUCUGAAGGCGGCGCUCAAGCGAUUUUUUGGAACUUUUCCCAGAAUUCAUCUCCUCAGUUCUCUCAAUUGGGGAGGUGGAAUCACAUGAUUUUUUAGUAUGUUGUAGCCUUUGAGGAGGAGAAUCAUCCCCACUAAACAACUUUCGAUGAAUCACCUCAUCGCGAUCUGUGGAAAUAAUUUUUUGAAUCCCGUCCAACUCCAUUUCUGAAAUCGCGAUAUGCAUCGCUUCAUUGUUUUGCGAAUUCGUGGAGUUGUAGGUUGAAUUGGAAGACGAUUCAUGAUGGGUUUUGUUCGUCUGUUCAAGGCGCCUCUGCUUACCUAGGUUCGGCAGCCUAAAGAGGCCCACCGGCGGCUCACGCGCCAUUCCGGCUCGUGAACUAGCCGUUGGAGCUGUACCUGCUGUGUAAAUUUUUUUGAGAGUUCCGGGUAGAGAGGGAAAAUAGAGAGAGAAAAAAAUUGAGAAAUGAGGAAGCGAUCUUAGUGUUUUUUUGGGUUUAGGGUUUGGGGUUUUCUUAGAGUUUGGGUUUUGGCCUACGAUUUAGGGUUUCUUAGGGUUAAAGGAUUCAGGGUUUAAAGUUUGGGAUUGUGGGUUCCUUAGGUUUAGGAGUUUUAAAGUUUUUUUAAGGUUUUGGUUUUCUUAGUGAUUUUUAGGGUUUAGGGUUUCAUAGGGUUUAGGAUUCUUUUAAAAUGAUUUUAGGGUAAAUUAUGGUGUAGGGCUUACUGUGUUUUAGGUUUAAGGUUUUUAGAGAUUUUGAAAGGGGUUUUUUUUUUGUUAGAGAAUAUAGGUUUAGAGUUUUUAAAGGUUUUUAAGGUUUCAUAGGGUUUAGGAUUUUAGGUUUUAAGGUAUUUGGGUUUAUAAGGGUUUAAGGUUUAGAGUUUCUUAGGGUUUAGUGUUUCUUAGAGUAUGAUAGGGUUUCCUGGUUUAGAGUUUAGGGCUUAGGGUUUUAGGUUUAAAGAUUAUUUUUUUUGAGUUUUUUAAGGGUUUAUGCUUAUGAUUUUUUAAGGGUUUUUAGGUUUAGAGUUUUAAAAGGUUUUUAGGGUUUUAAGGGUUUUUAGGUUUAGAGUUUUAAAAGGUUUUUAGGGUUUUAAGGGUUUUUAGGUUUAGAGUUUUAAAAGGUUUUUAGGGUUUUUAAGGGUUUCUUUAUGUUUAGGGUUAAGGCCAAAGGUUUAGGGUUUAGGCCCUAAGGUAUAGGGUUUAAGGUUAAGGGUUUCGGGUUUUAGGUAAAGAGUUUUUUUUCGGGUUUAUAGUUUUCUUUAGGUUUAUUAUAUUUAUUAUUAGGGUUUUAAAAUGUUUAAGGGUUUAUUAGGGUUUUUUAAGAAUUUGGAUUUCUUAUGAUUUAGGGUUACGUAGGAUUUAGGGCAUGGGAUUUUUUUAAGGCUUAGGGUUUAGGUUUUCUUAGGGUUUAGGAUUUCUUAGUGUUUCAUAUGGUUUGAGGUUUAGGGUUUAUCCCUAUGGUUUAGAGUUAAGGAUUUAGAGUUUCUUAGGGUAUAGGAUUUAGCAUUUAUGAUUUCUUAGGGUUUGGUUUUUUAAAGGGUUUUAGGAUUUAGGGUUUUGGGCUUAAGAUUUUCUAGGGUUUUAUUAGGUUUAGAGGAAUUUUUAGGUUUAGGGUUUUAAAGGGUGUUUAGGAUAUUUAUGGUUUUUUUACGAUUAAGGGGUUCUUAGAGCUUAGGGUUUUUAAAAGUUUAGGGUGUAGGGGUUUUAAAUGUUUUUUAGGGUUUUUUUUAUUUCUUAAGGUAGAC